UAGCUGCAAAAUAAAAAUUGACAUAGAUAAGUGAUUCUUAUCACAUCUCGACGUUAUCUCCUUUCUCUCUAGUAAAUAAUUAUUCAACGCUCUUCGAAACCCAUUAUUAUGUGACGAGAAAAUGUUAAUAUUCGGAAUAAGUUCUUGUUUGUAACAUUUUUCCGCGUUUUUUUAAAUUAAAUUGGAUACAAAGCGAUGUUAUUUCGCAUAAUGAUCAUCUUGACGGUCCUAUCGCGAAAUAGAAGUUGGUGGAAGUAACGGAUUGUGAAUUAUCUCGUGACUGAAAGUCAAGGUAAAAACAGUGGCCGCCCGGAAACUGUUGCAGGAACGUACAGCUGCACGCGGUAGAUUCGGGCGCAGUAAAUUAAGGAAAAAGAACACACGGAGAUUUAGUAGAUAAUUUUUAUUCUCGAAAAUCACAGUCACGCGCAAAGAAUCGCAAAGAAAAUUUCAUUUUUAGUGAGCUUGAGAAGUUAAAUCGGUUCAAUAAACCUAUUUGUUUGCGAUCUCGAGGAAAAUUAUAUAUAAACUUACAUAUAAACAUGACAAAUACAAAACAAAUUAAUCUUAGCGAUUCAGAGAUAUAAAGACUCAUAAAGUUUUACCAAAUUUAUAUUAUUAUUUAAUAUAAUUAUUUAAAUUUUCAUCUCCUAUUCGUGCAAAUGAUCGAGCAAACCUUGAUUCCAACGUGUGUUCUGGAAGUAAAAAUAAAAGACAAAAAAAUAUGCAAAUAUGCAACUAUGUAUACGGUUGCUUUCUUUAAAAAAAAAACACAAAUUAACACAUUUGAGCACGUGAACCUUAUCGUACGUAUGCCGUAUAGACAACAGUUAUUUUAGGAAAAUAGGAAAUUUUUUACUAGACACUCGACAAAUGCCUGGUCAAAUGUCUUUUCGUCCAUUUUUUUGUAUUCAAAUGCUAUUUUCCUAGCAUAGUAUUUGCCUGAACGUUUUUUAAUAAAAUAAAAAUAAAUUUUAUUUUAUAAAGUAGAAAUACGAUAUAGUGGAAAAGUUCGAAUGCUUCAGUUUACAAAAAUAUUUUUUUAAUCGCAAAUUGUUGAAAACAUUUUUUACUCUGUAUAUCUUUUUGGAAAGAUGAAAUGCCAAAAUUAUGCUUCUUGAAUAAACUAUGACGUAAUUAUGUAUAUACAUAAAAAAUCAACAAUCCUUGCAUAAAUAAAAACGUAAUUUUAAAGUAAUCGACUCGUACUACAUGUCGAAUCAAUUUCAUUCUCCUUGUAUUGUCAAUUUUUUUCUUUGUUCUUUUAUUAUCGCGGUUAAUUGCAAACGCGCAAAAUGUGUCAUACCAUUGAAAUUAUCUACGUGUAGUUUUUGAGAGAAUCGAUAACAGAGAAACAUGAUAUGUAUAAUUGCAACGCGUCUUGCCCGGUCUUGUCCGCGGUAAAGCAAACAUUUGAUAAAUGUGCUCGAUUACUUAUCAGCACAUCACAUCGCGCGCUUUCCCCGAUCUAAUUUAUGAUAUAGUCCAGUGUGUGCUCUAUCCGCGGCCCGUGAAAUGCGCUUGAUCGAUUAUUCGGGCAAAUUGAUCGAGCGUCGCUUCCUGAUAAUACGACAAUUUUGUGAUCUAUACGCAUAUCCUCUCGCUUCAUCGGCCAGUAGUAGAAAUUGCGGAGGAUCAUGGACGCGAACGCUUCCACCUUUGCAUAUUGCCGUGAAGGACGUUCAGCAAAGAGAAAUCCACGAGGUUUCGGGGGAUGUGAUACCGAUAAACAUGGUGAAGGGUAUCGGACAUCUCCGAGAUCCCCGACUGAACAAGGGCUUGGCAUUCACCCUGAAAGAGAGAAUAGCCCUUGGGAUACACGGGUUGCAACCUCCCAGAUUUAAAACGCAAGAGGAACAGCUGGCUCUAUGCAAAGCGUCAGUAAUGAAAUAUUCGGAGGAUCUGAAUCGAUAUUUAUAUCUCGUGGAACUUCAGGAGAGGAACGAAAGAUUAUUUUUUCGCUUGUUAAGCGAAAACAUCGAACAGAUGAUGCCGAUUGUCUAUACACCUACCGUUGGUUUGGCCUGCCAAAAGUUUGGUGUGAUAUAUCGUAGACCUCGCGGACUUUUCAUUACUAUAUACGAUAAAGGCCAUAUUUAUGAAAUCUUGAAUAAUUGGCCAGAACAAGCCGUGCGGGCCAUCUGCGUAACGGAUGGCGAGCGAAUUUUAGGCCUCGGUGACCUCGGGGCCUGCGGCAUGGGUAUCCCCGUUGGAAAACUAGCGCUUUACACAGCUCUGGCUGGUAUCAAACCGCAUCAAUGUCUCCCGAUCACUAUCGAUGUAGGCACCAAUAACGAACAGCUAAGAAAUGACCCUCACUACAUCGGUCUUAACAAGCCUAGGAGCCAAGGUGCCGAGUAUGACGAAUUAAUCGACGAAUUUAUGGCCGCCUGCGUGAAAAAGUACGGACAAAACGUUCUUAUUCAAUUCGAAGACUUCGGAAACCACAACGCCUUCCGUUUCUUAGACAAAUACAGAAACAAGUACUGUACGUUCAAUGAUGAUAUACAAGGUACGGCUGCGGUUGCAGUGGCUGGAAUCUUAGCGUCACAAAGAAUAACUAAGAAGAGAAUGGCGGAGAAUAAGUUUGUCUUCCUGGGAGCCGGAGAGGCAGCAAUCGGAAUAGCUGAUCUUUGCGUGAAAGCGAUGGAGGCUGAUGGUUGCACUCAACAGCAGGCGCGUGGUAACAUUUGGAUGAUGGACAUUGACGGAUUACUCGUGAAGAAUCGGCCCGAGGGUAAUUUGGAGGGCCACAAGAUCUGGUACGCGAAGGACCACAAAGUGAUGAAGACAUUGAUCGAAGUUGUGAAAGAAAUCAAACCUUCUGUCCUGAUAGGCGCUUCGGCGGCGGCGGGUGCAUUCACUCCUGAAGUUUUAAGAGAAAUGGCAAAUCAUAACGAGAGACCGUUGAUCUUCGCUCUAAGUAAUCCAACGAGUAAAGCUGAAUGUACGGCACAGCAGGCGUACGAUAAUACUGAUGGUAGAUGCGUAUUCUCUUCGGGUUCACCGUUCGGUGAAGUAAAGUACAAAGGGAAAACGUACAAGCCUGGACAGGGUAAUAAUGCGUACAUCUUUCCCGGUAUCGCUUUGGGCGUUAUCGCGACCGGAGUGCAUCACAUUACCGAAGAUUUGUUCCUGAUCUCAGCGCAAACUGUCGCCGAUCACGUGAAAAAUGAGGAUCUCGAAAGGGGUAGUCUGUAUCCGCCGUUAAAUAGCAUUCGCGAGUGUUCUAUCGACAUCGCAGUUAAAAUAGCUGAAUACGCUUACGCCAAAGGUGGUUUGGCAAGUGAGUAUCCGGAACCGAAAGACAAGCGACAAUUCAUCAUAAGUAAGAUGUACGAUGCCAACUAUGACAGUCCACUGCCAAAUCUGUACGAAUGGCCGGGUGAUUAUGCCAAACCGCGUAUCUUGCCGGAAAAAGACGUAAUAGAAAUUCGUCACAAUUUAAAACAUCUGUAGCGGAUUUCAUCGGCCGGAAUAGUUGGAGGCUAUCAUUGUUAUCUUUAACGAUAAAAAGUAUCGAUGUUUCUUCGACUUUAUAAUCAGUGUCAUUCAUGGCAUAUGCAAACAGCAAAACAACUUGUAAACAGUUCUAAUCAUUAUGACGCGUUGGCGAGUCUAAACUCUAAACAUGAGACGACCACUUGACAUACAUUUUAAUUUCUUGCAGUCAGAAAGUAAACUAUGAUUAUUGUGGAUAAUCGCAUAAAUAUUGUACUCAUUAAUAUUAAGAAAUUACAAUUUAUCGAUGUUUUUUGCGUUUAAACAAGAAUACGUACUUAUAUAUAUAUAUAUAUAUAUAUAUAUUUAAUGUAAUGAUGUAGCGAUAUUUGACGCAACGCAGAAUCAUAUGUGAAUAGAAUACAACUAUUCACUAACUAACUCGACAUGGAUUGUCAAAUAUUCCAGUACAUUACAGAUUAUUUAUUUUUUUAAGAUAUCUAAAAUAAUCGCGAAGUUAUUUCUAAUAAUGUAAUAUCAUUCUGCAUUGUGUGGCAUGCACAGUACGCGAUACAUUUACUUUAUAUUUUAAAACUACAGUUAACGAAUAGUUGCUUUUUGUUGUAAUCAUUUGAUACAUGAUCCUUCAUCAGAAAUGAAUUGCUACCUCGUGAUUAUUUUUUAAGUAAUGACAUGAAGUAAAUAAAGGCUCACGAAUAACAUGACAAAAUAAUUUUAAUCGUUUCUUUUGGAUGGACGAUGGAGCGAUCAUAUAUUCAAUAAAUUAGAGAAAAGUAUCAGAAAAAGAGGAACCGUUAUGAUAUAUCAAAUCAUUAUUAUAUAUCAAAACAUUAUAACACCAAUAUCUUUCUACUUUAUAAUACGCAUUCUUCUAUCCUGUAGAAGAAUGUUAUAGAUAAAUUUCUGGCAAAAGGCAUCUAUGUUACAUUAAAUAUAAGUAUUUAUCGAUAACAUUGAUUAGAUUUGAUUAAUUACUGCCUCAAAAUAGGAAACUUUAUAAAUCUGUGCAAUUUGUAUACAGAAAAGUGUAUCAUGCUGCCAUGAAUAAACAUCUUGACAGUAUAUAUAUCGCAAGAAAAUAGAUUCCAUCAAAUUGUGAAUACGUUUAUGAAUUGCUAAAUGUAAAUUAUAAUGUUAAAGAUUACGAAUAAAUGUUAAAUUCUGGUCGUUA